CCUACGGGAGGCAGCAGUGGGGAAUUUUGGACAAUGGGCGAAAGCCUGAUCCAGCCAUUCCGCGUGCAGGAUGAAGGCCCUCGGGUUGUAAACUGCUUUUGUACAGAACGAAAAGGUUUCUAUUAAUACUAGGAGCUCAUGACGGUACUGUAAGAAUAAGCACCGGCUAACUACGUGCCAGCAGCCGCGGUAAUACGUAGGGUGCAAGCGUUAAUCGGAAUUACUGGGCGUAAAGCGUGCGCAGGCGGUUAUAUAAGUCAGAUGUGAAAUCCCCGGGCUCAACCUGGGAACUGCAUUUGAGACUGUAUAGCUAGAGUACGGUAGAGGGGGAUGGAAUUCCGCGUGUAGCAGUGAAAUGCGUAGAUAUGCGGAGGAACACCGAUGGCGAAGGCAAUCCCCUGGACCUGUACUGACGCUCAUGCACGAAAGCGUGGGGAGCAAACAGGAUUAGAUACCCUGGUAGUCCACGCCCUAAACGAUGUCAACUGGUUGUUGGGUCUUAACUGACUCAGUAACGAAGCUAACGCGUGAAAGUUGACCGCCUGGGGAGUAAGGCCGCAAGGUUGAAACUUCAAAGGAAUUGACGG
rnacentral:rRNA from 1 species